UACGUAGGGUGCGAGCGUUAAUCGGAAUUACUGGGCGUAAAGCGUGCGCAGGCGGCUUCUCAAGUCAGGGGUGAAAGCCCAGAGCUCAACUCUGGAAUUGCCUUUGAGACUGAGUGGCUUGAGUACGAGAGAGGUGAGUGGAAUUCCCAGUGUAGAGGUGAAAUUCGUAGAUAUUGGGAAGAACACCGGUGGCGAAGGCGGCUCACUGGCUCGUAACUGACGCUCAUGCACGCAGCGUGGGGAUCAAACAGG
rnacentral:rRNA from 1 species